UGUCUGUCUUGUUGUUUACAAAUGGUCGUCACAUUGGAGACAUCUUUGUAUCAGUUCUCUUGUCAUUAUUAAAGGACUUUUAAAACGCGAGAUCUGUACUUCUAGAUAAAUAAACAUUGCUUAAAUAUAUACAUAGACCUUUAUAUUUUUAAUGUACUACUUUAGAUACAAAUUGUGUGAUCAAAGUUACAAAAUAUAUUUAGAUCUAGAUCUAGAUUCAAUCUAGAGUCUAGAGUCUAGACAUUCUAGAUCUUCAAUUUAAAUGCAAAUCAAUUAUAGAUUAUUCAAAUCUAGAUCUAUAUGUAAUGUAUAUUUAGUCUAGUUGUAGGUCAAGAUUUAGAAUAACACAAAGAUUUGAAUCUCAUCUGUCUAAAUCUUAACUUUGUCUAGUGCUUCAUUUUGAUAGCAAUGUCAGCCUCCAAUACAACAAAUGAACCAGGUAACAGAGGCGGUGUCAUUAGGAAAUAUCCCGAGGAUACGCCCAUGGAAAUAGAAGAAGAGCAUGCCUCUAAGCGGAUGAGACUUACAUACCAAAGAGGUGCCGAUCUCAACGUCUAUAACAAGCCUGCCCAGGCUAAAGUCCACCAAGAACCUGACUGGAGUCUAUUGCCCUACACUGUGUUAAAACAUAUCUACACUGUACUCCCCAAUACGCACCGCUACAGUAUGUCCUUGACCUGCCGAUCCUGGAACGCGCCGUUCAGAACACCAGAUCUCUGGAGGAACCUGACCUUUCGAUUCAACAGAGUUCAAGACAAGAAAGCCAAGCGGUUUUGUCAGACGAUGGUACCCACUGGGGUGCGGCACUUAAAUAUUGACUGUAAAGCCAUUGAUUCUGGUGGUCAUGUUAAAGUGGGCGAGUCUGUGGCGUAUUUGCUGAGAUUUUUACGUCACCUAAUGACCCAUAAUGUUAAUAACCUGAUCUCGCUGCGACUGGCCAACAUAGCCCGAAUGACCAACAGGUAUAAUCUAAUCAGCAAGCGUAAAGAUCUUGUCAUGACAUUGCGUGGCUUUGUAUCCAGUCAAACACAACUGAAGUUGUUAAAUAUGUCUUGUGCUUGUAUUGGACUAGACCAAGGAACAAAGAUGCUGCUUAAAGCAGGCCGUAGUUGCGGGAACACAAUUCAGAAACUAAUCAUCGAUGGAUUAUUUGACGAGGAUGCUGUUUAUAUGGAAGCCCUUCGUAUGAACGACGAUGAUGAUGAUGAUGAUGAUGAUGAUGAUGACGACGACUUUCAAAGGCCGACUGCUGAUAUUAUAACAAGAGCAAUGCUAGAGCCACUCAAGUUGUACACAAAAAUGUCAUCAUUGACUACCAGCUAUCAAUACAUAUCAAAGGACAUUUUGAUAAUGCUUGCUAAACAUCGCAACCUUAAUCAACUUCGAGUCUACGUAGAAAGAGGAUACGAACAAACUCCGAUUACAAGUGAGACAUGGCUGACUGUACUCGGUUUUAUACCGGAUUUGGAGGUGUCUUUCCACAUACUGUUCGCCAUCGAAAGUGAAAAGUUCGCUGAAAUGCUGGUGCCUGGUGUGCCAUUUGUCGGACUGGACUGGCUAACUCGUAAAGAUGAAGAUAGCCGGACGUGGGACCAUGAAGAAGUGUUAUUAAUUUUCGAGUACAUGGUUGAAGUCUUUCCGAACACUUUGCGCUUCAUCACACUGGGCCUGGAUGACUACCCCAGAAAGUUUGUCACUUUGUUUGAUGAUAUUCUAGAUAAGUGUUUAAACAUCGAAACGCUGUCCGUUAAAGCUCCAGACGACAGGGGGAAGACCUUCCAGAUGGCGUUAGCCAAAUUCGUGACCUGGGCCUACGAACGACAACCGUUGAGCUCGUUUCGUGAGCUGAGGUUCAACGAUGAAGUGUUGCUGAGCGUAACAGGGCCUCAUACCAGGAGAAACUAGUGAGUGAGGAAGUACAUGUACUCGAUACCAGUAAGUGAGGAAGUACAUGUACUCGAUACCAGUGAAGUAGCCCAAACAUACAGCGAAUGUUUACCAGUAACCUGUCUUUAACUCAUGUGUCUUAUAUCCAUAGAAUGUUCUAUUCUACAUUCUGUAUGCUAGUUGUUUAUUGUUGAAACACUUCACACGUAAGACAAUUCUUAGCGACGAGUGGAACAUUUCCAUACAGAGUUCACAUCAUACAGAUGCUCUACAUAAGUCAAUUAUAAGCAGAAAAUAUGCCAAGUUUUACAUUUUUUAAAAAAUUUGUGCCUUUUGUAAUUUUAAAAUGACAAUGAAUCUCUGCUAUUUUAAAUUGCAUCUUUUUUUUUACACUUUGGUAACCAAAGAUGAAGCACUGAAGAAAAUAACAUCAUAACUGGGGUUACUUUCCAUGAAAAUAUUAUAGCCAUGCCUCGGCUGUUCAGGGGAUAUAACUUUUGUUUCUUUAUCUUAGUAAAGUACAGGAAAGAUAACUGAAAAUAAAUACUUUUUGUUUUAUUCAUUCUAUUUAGUGACUUACACUUCAGUGCUGAAUUAAUGUAUCUAGGUGCCCUUGUUUGUAUUAAUGUGUACCAGAAGUGGAACAGUGAAAUAAUUGUAACAUUCUUUUUCUUCGCGUUUCACAAAACAGAACCUUUCCACAUAGAUAGUCCUUACAAUUUACAUUGUAGAGGACGAUUUAUAAUAUCUUCCAUUUAAUAUGCAACAUGAUGGGAAAUGUAUAUGUUUGUCCAAUGUUUUGAUUGGUUGUGUUAUUAACAGGAGAAAAUAUUUUUAAAAUGUUUUGUUUUGAUUUCAAACAAUUUAUUGAAAUCCAAUUUUUAUGAUUCUAUAUUUUUUGUGCUUUAUUUUAAGUGCAAUCAUUUCUACAUUUUGGAGUUUUGUAACCGCAAAUAAAUCACAAGAGACCUAAGUU